rnacentral:rRNA from 1 species
GUUACACGGCGGCGGCCUACACAUGCAAGUCGAGCGGAAACGAGUUAACUGAACCUUCGGGGAACGUUAACGGCGUCGAGCGGCGGACGGGUGAGUAAUGCCUGGGAAAUUGCCCUGAUGUGGGGGAUAACCAUUGGAAACGAUGGCUAAUACCGCAUAAUAGCCCGGUUCUUCGGAAUGGGUCUCAAAGAGGGGGACCUUUUAGGCCUCUCGCGUCAGGAUAUGCCCAGGUGGGAUUAGCUAGUUGGUGAGGUAAUGGCUCACCAAGGCGACGAUCCCUAGCUGGUCUGAGAGGAUGAUCAGCCACACUGGAACUGAGACACGGUCCAGACUCCUACGGGAGGCAGCAGUGGGGAAUAUUGCACAAUGGGCGCAAGCCUGAUGCAGCCAUGCCGCGUGUAUGAAGAAGGCCUUCGGGUUGUAAAGUACUUUCAGCAGUGAGGAAGGUGGGUAUGUUAAUAGCAUACACAUUUGACGUUAGCUGCAGAAGAAGCACCGGCUAACUCCGUGCCAGCAGCCGCGGUAAUACGGAGGGUGCGAGCGUUAAUCGGAAUUACUGGGCGUAAAGCGCAUGCAGGUGGUUUGUUAAGUCAGAUGUGAAAGCCCGGGGCUCAACCUCGGAAUUGCAUUUGAAACUGGCAAACUAGAGUACUGUAGAGGGGGGUAGAAUUUCAGGUGUAGCGGUGAAAUGCGUAGAGAUCUGAAGGAAUACCGGUGGCGAAGGCGGCCCCCUGGACAGAUACUGACACUCAGAUGCGAAAGCGUGGGGAGCAAACAGGAUUAGAUACCCUGGUAGUCCACGCCGUAAACGAUGUCUACUUGGAGGUUGUGGCCAUUGAGCCGUGGCCUUCCGGAGCUAACGCGUUUAGUUAGACCGCCCUGGUGAGUACGGGUC